rnacentral:lncRNA from 1 species
AAACAGUAGUGAAAUUUAAAAACAAUUGGGCUCAGACUGGAUAGAUAUGGACCGUCUGAUGAAUCCGAAGGUCUAGAUCUAAUCACAGGAAGUCUCAUCACAGCCACUGGAUCAGUGAUCCAACGGUUUAAAAAAAAACAGCACAAAAGCAUAGAAAUAACACAGGAGGCACAGUGACCAUCUGAUCAUGGAACUAUCCAGAUCCAACUGCUAGAAACAACAAGGCACAUGGAAUGGGAUAAGAGAAAUAACAUGGGAAAAUAAAAGGAAUAGAGACUAUAAAACGUAAAACAACAGCAUAUUACUCAUUUGGUUUCUUCUCUUCUCUUUCUAAACACAAAUGCUUCCUUCUCUCUACACUCAAAAACAACACCGCCCCCUUAUAUCAUCUUCUCCGGCGAGACAGUGUUUUCCGGCGCGAUGGCCGGUGGUGGCACCACCGCGCCGGAGUUUCAAACUCCUCUAAAUCAAAAAAGUUUUUACGUUUUUAAACAUCCUUUUCUUCAUACUUUUCGAAAAUCUACUUAGUUUUCACAAACAAACAACCAAAACUUCUAGAUCUAAACUUUAAAGAUCGGUUUCAAACUUUUUCCAUCUCUCAACCGUUUUCCAAAAAAAGAAACUCACAUCUCAUACAGAUUUAGGAAGUAAAAUGCAAAGGAGAAGAAAGAACAAAGUGAUACUGGUUACCUCUUUAGAUCGGUUACGAUCUUGGAGGUUAUACUUCUGAGAAAAAUAAAAAAACGUUCUUCCUUGCUCAAAACGGUUCGGAUUUAUUUCGAUUCACGCUCCAUUUUGAUCCGAUUCACGCUCCAAUCUCCUUCUCCAAUUCCGGUUGAAUUAUGGCUUGAAUGUGUUGGAUUUACGGUUCCGUCGAUUUGGUUGUGUUGUUAAUUUGGAAUCUUUUGUAUUUUUUGUGGUGAAAUCAUGAUGCUGGAAUUUUAGUGUUCAUAGUGUUCUUGAGAAACUAGAUGAUUUUUUGUGUCUGAUUUUAGAAAUCGGAGAGAGAAAUGAAAUUAGGGUUGGGGUGUUGACUGCUGCGGCUGAAGAAGUCUCUGUGUAAGUUUGUGCGGCUAGGGUUUGCUCAUCCUCCUUCUCUUUUUUUGCAGGUUUUAAUUUAUACCACUAGGGUUGAAGGGAAAAAGGAAACAACAUACUGGAUUUGGAAACAAAAGUUUGACAAUCUGCCUGAAUAUGAGGCGUGUAAAAAAUAUUUUUUGGACCCCUGCUGAGAUUUUUCUGACUCAUUGACAUUAUAGCACAAAACAAAAAUAAACUAUUAAAUAUAUAAAAAGAGUAACUAAUUUUAAAAUUAAAACUAAUAAAAGAUGGAAAUUAAACACUGAAAUAAAAAGAAAAUAAAGAGGAAAG